rnacentral:rRNA from 1 species
CCCUUAGAUGUCCUGGGCCGCACGCGUGCUACACUGGCACUUGCAACGAGUACUUUGCUUUACCGAAAGGUAAUGCUAAUCAUCAAUAAGUGUCGUGAUGGGGAUAGAUCUUUGGAAUUAUGGAUCUUGAACGAGGAAUGCCUAGUAAGCGUAGGUCAUUAGCCUACGCUGAUUAAGUCCCUGCCCUUUGUACACACCGCCCGUCGCUCCUACCGAUUUCGAGUGGUCCGGUGAAACUUUUGGACCGUGCGACUUUAUUGUUGUCACGGAAAGUCAGUUAAACCAUACUACUUAGAGGAAGGAGAAGUCGUAACA